CCUGGAUCCAGCCAUGCCGCGUGAGUGAUGAAGGCCCUAGGGUUGUAAAGCUCUUUCACCGGUGAAGAUAAUGACGGUAACCGGAGAAGAAGCCCCGGCUAACUUCGUGCCAGCAGCCGCGGUAAUACGAAGGGGGCUAGCGUUGUUCGGAUUUACUGGGCGUAAAGCGCACGUAGGCGGACUUUUAAGUCAGGGGUGAAAUCCCGGGGCUCAACCCCGGAACUGCCUUUGAUACUGGAGGUCUUGAGUAUGGUAGAGGUGAGUGGAAUUCCGAGUGUAAAGGUGAAAUUC
rnacentral:rRNA from 1 species